rnacentral:rRNA from 1 species
UACGGGGGGGGGCAAGCGUUGUUCGGAAUUACUGGGCGUAAAGGGCUCGUAGGCGGCCAACUAAGUCGGAUGUGAAAUCCCCAAGCUUAACUUGGGAACUGCAUCCGAUACUGGAUGGCUUGAAUCCGGGAGAGGGAUGCAGAAUUCCAGGUGUAGCGGUGAAAUGCGUAGAUAUCUGGAGGAAUACCGGUGGCGAAGGCGGCAUCCUGGACCGGUAUUGACGCUGAGGCGCGAAAGCCAGGGGAGCAAACGGG